rnacentral:tRNA from 1 species
UGCCCCUCUAACCACUAGGCUACCUGCCCCUCUAACCACUAGGCUACCUGCCCCUCUAACCACUAGGCUACCUGCCCCUCUAACCACUAGGCUACCUGCCCCUCUAACCACUAGGCUACCUGCUGCUCUAACCACUAGGCUACCACCCGCCCCAACGCUCUAACCACUAGGCUACCACCCGCCCCAACGCUCUAACCACUAGGCUACCUGCUGCUCUAACCACUAGGCUACCACCCGCCCCAACGCAUAGUCAGAACUACCCGUCUGAUUAUUCCACAUUUAGCUCUGAGUUAUACGGUAAGUAACUACAUGCUGUUCAUGAUCAGUAACAUCAGUUGAUCAUGUAGUUUCAGAUACCUGAGGGUGGCCUAUCCAUUUGGCAUGUAGCUAACUAAGCAAACCUUUCAUUUAGUUGGCUUCAUCAGAGAUGAGGCUUUUGGAAAGACCUUGACAUCAGCAAGUCCUCGUCCUGGUGAAGUGGUCAGUUGGACUUCUGUCAUCACCACUAUAGAUGGCAAGCUAAUCAAGUUCAAGUUUAUCCCCAGGAAGUUAGCUCGUUAACCAGCCCAUAUUGACCCGAUCUGUUAUUAGCUAGCUAGCCAAUUUGACGUGAUCCAUCAAUCAAUGAAGCCCAUCUAUAAUUUCUGUCAGCAGCAAUAGUGACUAAACACUUAAAAAAAACAAUGUUGAGAAGUGGAUAAUGUUAGCUAACUUUGCUAGGUAGGCCUACGUUGGUUGGAGAAAGAAGUACAGUAGGUCUAUUUACCUCUGUUUAGCCUGUAACAAGUUUAUACCGGUAGCUUGUAAAUAUUAUCAGCUAACUACAUUGGUAAAAUGAGCCCUUCUGCUGCUUGACAGGAAGAGCCCACAAAGGACAGGAAAUGAACCUAAACCACUCAUUCUUGUCGGGUAUAGUUUACUUUUAUAUCACUCAAAUAUCCAAUCAAUGGUGGCCAAUAUUGAGAGAGAUCGUCAGGCUACGUAUCUGAAAUGGCCAUGAACAGCAUGCAGUUACUGCUGUAUAACUGAUACAGCAGAAUGUGGAAAUAUCUGACAUUUGUAUUUCUAUGCUCUUCCAGAGGUGACGACACCAAACGCUCUGCACCUUAUUGUGACGUUUUACUGAUAACCUAUUCUAAACAUUCUAGCCAGUCCAAGGGUCGUUCCAUGAAAUGAGUGCCCUAUGAUUAUUUUAAGUAGAAAUAGUGUGCAAAUAUUGAAUUUUAAAAGCCUGUUAUAUUAAAUGAAAUGCCCUUUAAAACCCACUGGGCACAGACGUCCAUUCAAUGUCUAUUCCACAUUAGUAACCCAUACAUGACUUCUCUAUGGAAAGGGGAGACCCUGAAGGUAACCCAUACAUGACUUCUCUAUGGAAGGGGAGACUCUAAAGGUAACCCAUACAAACCAAUGGAAGUAUGGAGAUACUUUUGUGGCCACAAAAGUAAGGGGUUAAAUAUGUCCUGAGCUUUCUUAUAUCUCCUAGACAUGGGACAGACACUUCAAAACCUUAUUCCUUAUGAUUUAUUUUUGGACUGUCUUUUUUUCCAUUUAUGAAUGCGUAAUUCAAUACAUUUCUAUGGGCUAUAGUAGUAAAUAUUUCAUUUCGAUACCUAAAGGGGUCCUAAAAUUCAAAAUGAAAUAGCUAAAUCAUCCAUUGUAUGAACAUCUUAAAACAAUUCCAUAUGUUAGCUUAGUUUUUUUUUCUUUAACCUCUUGAGAUGGGUUAAUGUGUUUUUAUUUUAAUUUUUUUAUUAACAGAAUGUUAAUGAAUGACAGAAUGUUAAAAUUAGGUGAAACAAUUAUUUAUUUAUUUUACACUUUUCAAAAGGAACCCAAUUCGUCGAACGACCCCUAAACUUUCUAAACGUUCUAAAUGAUCUAAACAUCCACUAAAAAACCAAAACACUUUGGAACGGUCUGAAUUGUCAGCCAAAUAUUCAGGAGAGACUUGGUGCUUUUGUUUUUGUCAGAUGGGUUACAAGAGCGAGGAUCUGUCUUUGAUUAUUUUCAGUGUGUUUUGAGUUUGGAGAAUUACCUGUCAAGUGCAUGUGUGUCCUUAAGAGCAGCAGUUUAACAUCAGCACUACCCCACACAACUCCUGUAACAUCUCACAAUAUCUCCAGUUUAUCUCUGCUCCAUGAUCACUAGCAUGUUAUCAUUCCAGAAGAGGAGACUUUUUAACUUUGAGCAUUUUAGUUUUCUCUGUCACAUGGAGUAAAUUAUAAUUCCCCUCUCUAAUUAAUGUUAAUGGAAGCCAUGAAGAUUCAGGCUGAGUGUCAGGAAGAGCCAGGAGGUGUCCGGACCGUGACAAAGUGAUGUUAACAGCCUGCCAGUUUCACUAAACACUCCUGUUAUAUAUCUGUCCUGUAUCUUCUAUUGUUAUCAGACACACUACAGCCUUCCCUGUAGCUCAGUUGGUAGAGCAUGGUGUGUGCAACACCAGGGUUGUGGGUUCGAUUCCCACGGGGGGCCUGCACACAAAAAAAAAAAGAAAAAAAAGGAUGAAAUGUAUGUAUUCACUACUGUAAGUUGCUCUGGAUAAGAGCG